GCUGGUGUAGCUCAGCUGGUAGAGCAGCUCACUCGUAAUGAGCAGGUCUGCGGUUCGAGUCCGCACACCAGCUCCA
rnacentral:tRNA from 3 species